rnacentral:rRNA from 1 species
UUCGCAAUGCCCGAAAGGGUGACGAAGCGACGCCGCGUGGGUGAGGAAGGCCCUCGGGUUGUAAAGCCCUGUCAGGAGUUAAGAAAUGUAAGUGUGCUAAUAUCACAUUUAUUUGACGAAGGCUCCAAAGGAAGCCACGGCUAACUCUGUGCCAGCAGCCGCGGUAAUACAGAGGUGGCAAGCGUUGUUCGGAAUUAUUGGGCGUAAAGAGCACGUAGGUGGGUUUGUAAGUCAGAUGUGAAAGCCUUCUGUUCAACGGAAGAAUUGCAUCUGAAACUACGAGUCUUGAGUGUAGGAGGGGAGAAUGGAACUUCUGGUGGAGCGGUGAAAUGCGUAGAUAUCAGAAGGAACGCCGGCGGCGAAAGCGAUUCUCUGGCCUAUUACUGACACUCAGUGUGCGAAAGCUAGGGGAGCAAACGGGAUUAGAUACCCCGGUAGUCCUAGCCGUAAACGAUGGGCACUAAGUAGAGGGGUUUU